rnacentral:rRNA from 1 species
UACGAAGGGGGCUAGCGUUGCUCGGAAUCACUGGGCGUAAAGGGUGCGUAGGCGGGUUUUUAAGUCAGGGGUGAAAUCCUGGAGCUCAACUCCAGAACUGCCUUUGAUACUGAAGAUCUUGAGUCCGGGAGAGGUGAGUGGAACUGCGAGUGUAGAGAUGAAAUUCGUAGAUAUUCGCAAGAACACCAGUGGCGAAGGCGGCUCACUGGCCCGGUACUGACGCUGAGGUGCGAAAGCGUGGGGAGCAAACAGGG